rnacentral:rRNA from 1 species
GACGAACGCUGGCGGCGUGCCUAACACAUGCAAGUCGAACGCGAAAGGGGGCAACCCCCGGUAGCGUGGCAGACGGGUGAGUAACACGUGGGUAACCUACCCGGAGGUGGGGGAUAACCCUUCGAAAGGAGGGCUAAUACCGCAUGACAUCGCAGGGACUUCGGUCCUUGCGAUCAAAGCUGGCCUCUGUUUACAAGCUAGCGCCACCGGAUGGGCCCGCGCCCCAUUAGCUAGUUGGUGAGGUAACGGCUCACCAAGGCGACGAUGGGUAGCUGGUCUGAGAGGACGAUCAGCCACACGGGAACUGAGACACGGUCCAGACUCCUGCGGGAGGCAGCAGUGAGGAAUUUUGCACAAUGGGGGUAACUCUGAUGCAGCGACGCCGUGUGUAGGAUGAAGGGGCUCUGCCCUGUAAACUACUGUCGGAUAGGAAUAAAAGUUGGGUUGCCCAACUGGGAAUGUACUAUCAAAGGAAGGAUCGGCUAACUACGUGCCAGCAGCCGCAGUAACAC